AGCGAACGCUGGCGGCAGGCUUAACACAUGCAAGUCGAACGCACCUUCGGGUGAGUGGCAGACGGGUGAGUAACACGUGGGAACGUACCCUCCGGUUCGGAAUAACCCAGGGAAACUUGGGCUAAUACCGGAUACGUGCCGAGAUAGAGAUAUCUGGGCAGAAAGGUUUACUGCCGGAGGAUCGGCCCGCGUCUGAUUAGCUAGUUGGUGGGGUAACGGCCUACCAAGGCGACGAUCAGUAGCUGGUCUGAGAGGAUGAUCAGCCACACUGGGACUGAGACACGGCCCAGACUCCUACGGGAGGCAGCAGUGGGGAAUAUUGGACAAUGGGCGCAAGCCUGAUCCAGCCAUGCCGCGUGAGUGAUGAAGGCCUUAGGGUUGUAAAGCUCUUUUGUCCGGGACGAUAAUGACGGUACCGGAAGAAUAAGCCCCGGCUAACUUCGUGCCAGCCGCCGCAGUAAAAC
rnacentral:rRNA from 1 species